rnacentral:rRNA from 1 species
AACGAACGCUGGCGGCAGGCUUAACACAUGCAAGUCGAACGAGAUCUUCGGAUCUAGUGGCAGACGGGUGAGGAACACGUGGGAACAUCCCUUUCAGUUCGGAAUAACGUUGGGAAACUAACGCUAAUACCGGAUACGUCCUUCGGGAGAAAGAUUUAUCGCUGAAAGAUUGGCCCGCGUCUGAUUAGAUAGUUGGUGAGGUAAUGGCUCACCAAGGCUACGAUCAGUAGCUGAUCUGAGAGGAUGAUCAGCCACAUUGAGACUGAGACACGGCCCAAACUCCUACGGGAGGCACCAGUGGGGAAUAUUGGCCAGUGGGCGCAAGCCUGAUCCAGCCAUGCCUCGUGAGUGAUGACGGCCUUCGGGUUGUAAAGCUCUUUUGUCCGGGAAGAUAAUGACUGUACCGGAAGAAUAAGCCCCGGCAAACUUCGUGCCAGCAGCCGCAGUAA